AGGAAGACGAUGGUGACCGCCGUGUUGUGGAGGAGAGUCUACUCUAGCGGCGCCGCCGCCGCCUUUGGGGGAGGAGGGGGAGCGGGCCCCACCGGGGUCGUAGCUAAGCCGGGCGUGUGGGAGCGGCUAGGCGCUUGGGUCCGCGGGCUCCUGCAUGACUACGCCGAGGCGUGCGCGGACGCGGCGGCGGCGGCGCGGGAGCGGCCCGUGCGGGCGGCGCUGUACGCGGGGCUGCUGGGCGGCGCGGUCGCCUGCGCCCUCCGGACCCCGGAGGAAGCCUCCUUCGAGGAGGCGCUGUUGGACGCGUCCGUGACCCUGCUGCUUCUGGCGCCCGGCACCCGCAACCCCGACUCGGAGGCGCACGUGCAGCGGCUGCUGUGGCUGCGGGGCCGGGGCCGGCUGCGCCACCGCAGCCUGGGCCUGUGCUCGCUGCUCUACGAGGCUCCCUACGACCCCGAGGCCAGUCUGUACCAGGCGCGCUGCCGCCACCUGCAACCGCGCUGGGCCGACUUCCCGGGCCGCGUGCUCGACGUGGGCUUCCUGGGCCGUUGGUGGGUGCUGAGCGCCAAGAUGCGCGACUUCGACAUCAACGACGACGAGUUCCGCCACCUGCCGCCGCACCUGCGCACGCUCGCCGAGCACCAGCUGCGCUCCGAGGCCAACGAGCGGCUGUUCGACCAGAAGUACCUGCCCGUGGUCCUCACGGAGGACCAGGUGGACCAGGCCCUGUGGGAGGAGCACGUUCUCCAGAAGGAGAAAAAGGACAGGCUGAUGCUGAGCGAGGCCACCCCCGAGGAAAUCGGGGCCCAGCCGGCCGCCAGGUGAAGCCCUGCUGCCCUCGGACUGCACGGGACUGAGCCCCCCACCCCCCCCACCCCGUUGUCUUUUUGCUCGGUGGUUAAGGGACGGAGCUUUAGUGAAAUAAACUGUUUUUCCCUCUUUUCUCUCUCUUUCCCAUCUUUUUUCCUCUUUAAAUGAAUUGGUACAGUUUGAUGCACCAGGCCUCUGGGACUCCCAUGCUGCAGCUUUGUUCUGUGGUGCAGUUGCAGUUGGUCUGAUGUGCCAGGCUUCCCAAGCUAUUUCUGGAU